rnacentral:rRNA from 5 species
CAAGACGACCCGCUGAAUUUAAG